AUCUUGGCGGCGGAAUUCAGGAUGGCCAGCGGGCUUCGUGCUUGUCUGGUCGUUUGAUAUUUCCGUCGCCGUGUCAGACGUCGCGACCUGUUCGUCGUCGGUCCUUGCUCGGAGGAAUCGUGAUCGAGUUCGUUGCACGGUGCGUUUCGGCGUGCCGAGCGGCGAAGACGCGACUCUCUGGCUGACGACGGACAGUAAGCAACGGUGUCCGGUGUCGUGUCUCGUACUCGACGUCGGUGCCGGUCUGCGACGAUUUCUUCGGGCCUCUUUCCGACCCGUCUUGAAACACGGACCAAGGAGUCUAACAUGCGCGCGAGUCGCGGGGUUUCGAGCGUACCACGGUGCGCUCGUUACUUGCGAAACCCGUACGUUGAAGGCGUAAUGAAAGUAAAGAGGGAAGAUGGCGUUCCGAGUCCACGUACCGUGAUCGAGUGUCGCGGCCGGACGUCCGCACUCCCGGGGCGUCUCAAUGGCUCGUCGCGGAUGCGGACGGUCGUCUCUCGGGACGGCUGUCGGUCUGCGACGGACCGAGGCGCACCUAUAGCGUGCACGUUGGUACCCGAAAGAUGGUGAACUAUGCC
rnacentral:rRNA from 1 species